rnacentral:rRNA from 1 species
CAGCAGCCGCGGUAAAACGGAGGGGGCUAGCGUUGUUCGGAAUUACCGGGCGUAAAGCGCACGUAGGCGGCUUGGUAAGUUAGAGGUGAAAGCCUGGAGCUCAACUCCAGAAUUGCCUUUAAGACUGCCGAGCUAGCAGGUGAGAGAGGUAAGUGGAAUUCCGAGUGUAGAGGUGAAAUUCGUAGAUAUUCGGAAGAACACCAGUGGCGAAGGCGGCUUACUGGCUCAUACUGGACGCUGAGGUGCGAAAGCGUGGGGAGCAAACAGGAUUAGAUACCCCAGUAGUCCCUGUCUCUUAUAC